AGCAGCCGCGGUAAUUCCAGCUCCAAUAGCGUAUAUUAAAGUUGUUGCAGUUAAAAAGCUCGUAGUUGAAUUUCGGGAUCAGCAGGUUGGUCGUGCCUACGGUAUGAACUGGCCUUGCCGAUUCCUCCCUCUUGAUGAGCCGUAAUGUCAUUAAUUUGGUGUUGCGGGGAAUCAGGACUGUUACUUUGAAAAAUUGAGUGUUAAAGCAGGCAAGCGCUUGAAUACAUUAGCAUGGAAUAAUGAAAUAGGACGUUCGAUUCCUAUUUUGUUGGUUUCUAGGUAUUGACGUAAUGAUUAAUAGGGAUAGUUGGGGG
rnacentral:rRNA from 1 species